rnacentral:miRNA from 1 species
UGGACCCUCGCAUGUCCGUGA